rnacentral:rRNA from 1 species
AUUGAACGCUGGCGGCAGGCCUAACACAUGCAAGUCGAGCGGAUGAAGGGAGCUUGCCCCUGGAUUCCGCGGCGGACGGGUGAGUAAUGCCUAGGAAUCUGCCUGGUAGUGGGGGAUAACGUCCGUAAACGGGCGCUAAUACCGCAUCCGUCCUGAGGGAGAACGUGGGGGAUCUUCGGACCUCACGCUAUCAGAUGAGCCUAGGUCGGAUUAGCUAGUUGGUGGGGUAAAGGCCUACCAAGGCGACGAUCCGUAACUGGUCUGAGAGGAUGAUCAGUCACACUGGAACUGAGACACGGUCCAGACUCCUACGGGAGGCAGCAGUGGGGAAUAUUGGACAAUGGGCGAAAGCCUGAUCCAGCCAUGCCGCGUGUGUGAAGAAGGUCUUCGGAUUGUAAAGCACUUUAAGUUGGGAGGAAGGGCAGUAAGUUAAUACCUUGCUGUUUUGACGUUACCAACAGAAUAAGCACCGGCUAACUUCGUG